rnacentral:rRNA from 1 species
CACGUAGGGCGCAAGCGUUGUCCGGAAUUAUUGGGCGUAAAGAGCUCGUAGGCGGUCUGUCGCGUCUGCUGUGAAAACUCGGGGCUUAACCCCGGGCCUGCAGUGGGUACGGGCAGACUAGAGUGCGGUAGGGGAGACUGGAAUUCCUGGUGUAGCGGUGAAAUGCGCAGAUAUCAGGAGGAACACCGGUGGCGAAGGCGGGUCUCUGGGCCGUAACUGACGCUGAGGAGCGAAAGCGUGGGGGAGCGAACAGG